rnacentral:rRNA from 1 species
UACAGAGGGGGCAAGCGUUAUUCGGAAUUAUUGGGCGUAAAGGGCGCGUAGGCGGCUUGGCAAGUGGAAGGUGAAAUCCCUCGGCUUAACCGAGGAACUGCCCUCCAAACUGCUUUGCUUGAGGCCGGGAGAGGUGAGUGGAAUUCCCAGUGUAGCGGUGAAAUGCGUAGAUAUUGGGAGGAACACCAGUGGCGAAGGCGGCUCACUGGACCGGUUCUGACGCUGAGGCGCGAAAGCUAGGGGAGCGAACAGG